GCCACAUAUGGUUAUUACUACAGUAAGAUAUAAGGAAUUAAUAUUUUGAGGCAUUUUCUUGAUGGAGAGAAACUUGUGAUUGAUCCUAAUUAAUGAUGUGUCUCUUUGCAGGGAGUUGAAAGUGAUUUUUACUUUUGUGUUUGCUGCUAAGUAUCUAGGUAGGAAAAACCUGACUGUAAUUGCUUGAUUAUGAGCAAUCAAUGUAUUGCUCUUUUUUGGUGGUUGUUUUCAGUGUUACUGAGUUGGUGGCUAAUUUGAUGCUUUCUCCACAGGCGAAGUGAUCAGAACCAAUUAAGCUGACAGUGGAAGAGCAAAACUCAGGCAACUGAUGCAAGAAAGUGACUAGUUUAUAGAUAUAUGUGGCCGUUUGUUUUAUGAUUUAUAAAGAAAAAUAUCGAACACAGAGCACAUGCUUAUUUACUCUCAUUUUUGCUGUGACUUGUAAAGUGGCCCAGGUUAAGCCACUUUACUUUUUUCUGUCCCAUCUGAAAAAAAAAAUAACAUAUUUCCUGUAUCCUCGUAAGACAAUCAAGUUGAUGUGAAUAUAACAGCUGCUUCUAGCAGUUUGCGAGCCCAAAGUAAAUGGUUGUGGGCUUUUUUUGGUUGUAACUGAUGCCCUGUCUUGUUUGACUUCGUUUUUCUUCGCAUUGCUCUCGGAUCUGUUUUAUGAUCAAAGGAAAACAUGACGGCUUGCUUCACUGACAGUCAUUUCCAGCUCAUCAGCAUUAUUGAUUUCAGAUUCACCGUGAAGAGAAAACUGUAAAACUGACACUGGGAAAGUGAUUCUCUGAACUUAGAGGCCAACUUGAACCAGGAAAGAUGGAACCCGUGGAAAGAUUUGGCUCACCGCGCUGAACAGGUGCAGCCAUCAAAGUGAGUGGGUGGCGCUUGUCCGAGUCCUGCGGAGUCAGCCAGUACUGUGUGACUCACCUUCGUGAUAUCAGUAAAGCUCCAAGCCUCUUGCCUGGGAAUUGACAAAGGAAACUCGAUUCUGAAUAUGCCACUAUUUGAAUCUUUAAAUGUAAUCCACUUACCAGUCAACUGGCAAACGUUCUCCAUAUUCUUCAGGUUGUUUCUAAUCUUUCUCCUAAUCACGUUUGCAGCCUGGCUGGAUUUUAUUGGGUUUAUGUGUGUUAGCUUUGAGAAGGAAUGGAAACACCUGCUUCUCUGAGAUGAUCAUUAUGUACCACCCCCCACCUCGUCCCCCACCACAGCUCGGGUAGAGCAGAAAGGUGAUCUCAUAGGGUUUUUCCACACAAUUAUUCUGAUUUUUAAAACACAAGUGUGUGAAAGCCCCAAUCAUUGCCUCUUAAAAUCCCCUUUGUGUUCAAAGAGGAAGCUUGGGGAAUAGUUUCAGCAAAGUAUCGGGAGUAUCAGAUAGCACUGAUUCACCCAGUUCUGGAAACAAACCUCAGUUUCUUCAAUCAUUGGUUCAAGAUGAGAAAACUCCAAAAAUGUGAAAACUUCCCUUUGCCGUGUACUAAUUUGGCAACAAACCAGAGAUCAGCCGUCCUCUGACAAAUGUGACACAUGAAUUUGACAAGUGUUCCGUCGUCUUCCACCCCGGUUCAUGCUGCGCCCUUCUGGCUACAUUGCUCCCUGGGUUCUCUAUUCAAGUCUUACUCAUCUUUGGAGGUCCCACUCUCUCCUGGUAACCUUCCCCAACUUACUGGCUUAGAGGGAGCUUUUCCUCCCCUGAAGUCUGGCACAUAUAUCAGAAUCUCUCAAUUGACAUUUAGUCAAUUUCCAGGGUAAAGAUUUUGCUGAAUUCUUACUCCCACACCUAUGGGGGUGCUGGUGCUUUGCCUACAGUGCUGAUGUGUAGUGUUGGCUGGGCAUCAGGAUUAUCUGUGCAGCUUUUAGGAAUUACACAUGUCCCAGUCUCACACCACACCUUCUGAAUCAGGCUCACUGCUUGGGUGAUUCUGAUUUACCCCUGGAGUGAGAGCUACCACUUUGCCAUUAUUGUAGGAAUUACAUGAGCUAAUAUG